rnacentral:sRNA from 1 species
GCCAGGCAUGGUGGCACAUGCCUGUAAUCUCUUUGGUUCAGGAGGCUGAGGCAGGAGGAUCAUGAGUUCAAAGCCAGUCUGAGCAACUUAGAGAGGCCCUAAGCAACUCAGUGAGACCCUGUCUCUA